rnacentral:lncRNA from 1 species
AUUUUGUUACAUCCCAGUGGUUACUCUUUUUGUUACUGUGUCUACUUGAAGAGUUUUCUUUUGGGGGGUUGGCUACCACUGCACUUGCCUCUAAAAUAACACCUCUCCAUCUUUACAGUUUGCUGCUUUGAAUCUUCUGUGGCCAUGAAACUAGAUAACUAUGUUGCUUAAAAUACCUUGAGAAGAGAGCAGGCUUAUGGGCAUGGCCUUUUAGGAAGCACAUUAACUUGAUGAUGCUUAAUUUUGGUUCCUCCAAGAAUGAUCUCUUUUGCCUACUUUUUGAGUCUUAGCUUUAUGGAGGAUAGUGAGGUUCCUGGUGUACACAUAGGCAUUUUAGUUGGUACACUGCUUGAUCCACUCCUCCUACAGAUUGGGAAGGGUGACUUAAAAUGCCCUUAAAAGCAGGACAACUUUAAUGCUCCGUAGAGUUCAUUUUAAUGGUACUUCGUUUGUGACAUAAAUUGUGUUAACCAUGGUUUAUAGCAAGUUGGGGCAUAGAUUUUUAUGGAAUUGUGUGGCACUAUUGUAGUCUGAAUUUUAUUGGCUUUUUUACAUAGUCUUAGGCAGAAGAUUUUCCAAGGUUAAAUGCUUAAUGUGCUUUUCACUAGGACCUGAUAAAAAAGGACACCAGUUCUCAUGUGUUUGUCUUCAUGGUGACAGAAAGCCUCAUGAGAGAAAGCAAAACUUGGAAAGAUUUAAGAAAGGAGAUGUAAGAUUCUUGAUUUGCACAGAUGUAGCUGCUAGAGGAAUUGAUAUCCACGGUGUUCCUUAUGGUAAAAAGCAACUUUUUAUGCCUGUAGUGUGAUUGUUACGGAAUCUAAAGUAAAGCCUUCUAAUAUGUUUGAAAAAUUUAGAAACUACUGGCAAUUGUUAAUAAUGGUUUUUAUUUAUAGUUAUAAAUGUCACUCUGCCCGAUGAAAAGCAAAACUACGUACAUCGAAUUGGCAGAGUAGGAAGAGCUGAAAGGUACUUCUGCAAUUUUUUUUCCCCCAUUUUUAAGCUUGUAUGCUUUAGGAAUAAAGUCUAAUAGAAGGCUUUUAACCAUCUUUCAGGAUGGGUCUGGCAAUUUCCCUGGUGGCAACAGAAAAAGAAAAGGUAAUCUUUGUAGGGCUCUAUUAUAUUCAUUGUGUGUGUUGUGAUUUUAGAUGUUGGAAAUAAAAGCAGUUUGAUUUUCCCAUUUAAAUUUAAUUCAGCUGCGUAUGGAAUACAAAUGAACUUUUUAAUGUCAUCUUUUUUCCUAUAUUCAUUGAAUGGACAAAUAAUAGGGUGAAAUUUAGAAAGGAAAAAUGCAAAAUAUAAUUUUUCCAACUAGCUUUAUUGUACUCAUUUCCACC